rnacentral:rRNA from 1 species
GGAGGAAAAGAAACCAACAGGGAUUGCCCCAGUAACGGCGAGUGAAGCGGCAAAAGCUCAAAUUUGAAAUCCUGCGGGAAUUGUAAUUUGAAGGUUUCGUGGUCUGAGUCGGCCGCGCCCAAGUCCAUUGGAACAUGGCGCCUGGGAGGGUGAGAGCCCCGUAUGGCGCACGCCGACUCUUUGCACCGCGGCUCCGACGAGUCGAGUUGUUUGGGAAUGCAGCUCUAAGUGGGUGGUAAAUUCCAUCUAAAGCUAAAUAUUGGCGAGAGACCGAUAGCGAACAAGUACAGUGAUGGAAAGAUGAAAAGCACUUUGAAAAGAGAGUGAAACAGCACGUGAAAUUGUUGAAAGGGAAGGGCUUGCAAGCAGACACGGUUUUACCGGGCCAGCGUCGAAAAGGGGGGAGGAACAAGAACUCGAGAAUGUGGCGCGCACCUUCGGGCGCGCGUGUUAUAGCUCGUGUUGACGCCUCCAUCCCUUUUCGAGGCCUGCGAUUCUAGGACGCUGGCGUAAUGGUUGCAAGCCGCCCGCU